UACGGAGGGUGCAAACGUUGCUCGGAAUCAUUGGGCGUAAAGCGCACGUAGGCGGCCGAAUAAGUCGGGUGUGAAAGCCCUGGGCUCAACCCAGGAAGUGCACUCGAAACUGCUCGGCUUGAAUAUGGAAGAGGGUUGCGGAAUUCCCGGUGUAGAGGUGAAAUUCGUAGAUAUCGGGAGGAACACCAGUGGCGAAGGCGGCUCACUGGCCCGAUACUGACGCUGAUGCACGAAAGCGUGGGGAGCAAACAGG
rnacentral:rRNA from 1 species